UCCAUCCUAGAAGCCGCUUCAUCAGCACGUUUGGCAAUUGUGUAUAAUUGGUCGAAUGUAGUUGGCAAGGGCCAAAUGGUUGACAAGAAUUGAAGGUACUUUGGAGAAGCACCGUCGCAGAUGUGUGUGGGUUUCCGUUGGUUCUUGGAAUCGGAAUAUUUUUGUCAACUGCAAUCGACUUUUUUGCAUUG